rnacentral:rRNA from 1 species
AGAGUUUGAUCAUGGCUCAGGAUGAACGCUAGCUACAGGCUUAACACAUGCAAGUCGAGGGGCAUCAGUUUGGUUUGCUUGCAAACCAAAGCUGGCGACCGGCGCACGGGUGAGUAACACGUAUCCAACCUGCCUCAUACUCGGGGAUAGCCUUUCGAAAGAAAGAUUAAUAUCCGAUAGCAUAUAUUUCCCGCAUGGGUUUUAUAUUAAAGAAAUUCGGUAUGAGAUGGGGAUGCGUUCCAUUAGUUGUUGGCGGGGUAACGGCCCACAAGACUACGAUGGAUAGGGGUUCUGAGAGGAAGGUCCCCCGACAUUGGAACUGAGACACGGUCCAAACUCCGUACGGGAGGCA